UGAACAUGUUAGCACAGCAUCAGCAACUGUGAGAAAAAUCUUGUCCUCACCAAUUUGAUCCGGAAAUUUGGAUGCAUGUAGCUUGUCAAUCACAACUCUCCCGGGGUUCGACAGAACAAGCUGUACAAGAAAAAAUGAAGGCUUCUAUGCAACUCUUCCAAGGCAUGGAUGCCACUGGUGUCGAUAUCAGUAACAGCUACAAGGAGAAAAAACACGAAGGAUGGAUCGAUCAAUAUGUCAUCUCAGAGUAAGAUAACAUACUUAUAAUCUCUACUUACGUGACAUCUCAACGAUCAAGAAUUGAAUUUUAGGAUCACUAGCUGCUUUUCGUUGUUCUUCCUCAUCCAUUAGCCAUCUCAAUAUCCUGAAAAACGCGUUGAUUAGUUUGUUAAGUUCAUUUAUUCGUAGUACAUAAAGAUACGAAAGAAAGGGGGAAAGGGGAAGAAAUGUCUUUUACCUUUCCUUUAUAUAGUUAGAGUUUGAAAAGUAUAUAGCAGAAUCAACUCUAACUAUCAAUACACCAGGAACUUUGGUUGCCUCGGGGUAUUGUUGAGUGUUUCUAUAUACAUUUGUCCGCGGUAUCCUGCCUAGAGUAGCUGUUCGUGGCCUCGUGACUUGGAGGAGAAUCUUAGCAAAUGAUAUUGUUACCUUUGGAAAAUGAAAGUAACUAUCAGAUCUUAUUACUGAAA